rnacentral:RNase_P_RNA from 1 species
AGAGCUGGCCAGGCAAUCGCGGCCUCUUUUACGAGAGGCGGAGGAAAGUCCGGGCUCCGCAGGGUAGAGCGCCAGGUAACGCCUGGGCGGCGUAAGCCGACGGAAAGUGCAACAGAAAACAAACCGCCGAUGGCUUGAAAGAGCACAGGUAAGGGUGAAAUGGUGCGGUAAGAGCGCACCGCGCAGGUGGCAACAUUCUGCGGCAUGGUAAACCCCGCUCGGAGCAAGGCCAAAUAGGGGCGCGACAGGUGUGACCCGCACUGCGCCCGGGUAGGCUGCUUGAGGGAGUUGGUGACAGCUCUCCCAGAUGAAUGAUUGUCCACGACAGAACCCGGCUUAUCGGCCAGCUCUUGCU